CCAAAGAAAGUAAUAUAAUACAUUAAGUUUCGGCCUUAAUUAAGAAAAAAUUUUUUUCUCUUUGAA
rnacentral:tRNA from 1 species